AUGGUCACAUCAUAUUGAAACACCGGUACCCCUACGAUCACCGAAGUUAAGCAACGUCGAGCCUGGUUAGUAACUUUAUGGGUGACCGCUUAGGAAUACCAGAUGCUGUAAG